GCCUACGACCAUAUCACCCUGAAUGCGCCCAAUCUCGUCUGAUCUCGGAAGCUAAGCAUGGUCGCGCCUGGUUAGUACUUGGAUGGGAGACUGCCUGGGGAUACCAGGUGUUGUAGAAU
ensembl:rRNA 5S_rRNA 5S ribosomal RNA